CGUAACGUACGGCUCAGUAACACGUAGUCAACCUGCCCUGGAGACGCGGACAAACCCGGGAAACUGGGGCCUAUCCGCGAUAGAUGACCUCAUCUGGAAGGAGAAGUCGUCGAAAAGGGUGCACGGGUAUGCUCCGUGCAUCCGCUUCAGGAUGGGACUGCGGCCGAUCAGGCUGUUGGCGGGGUAAUGGCCCACCAAACCUGUAACCGGUACGGGCUUUGAGAGAAGGAGCCCGGAGAUGGACACUGAGACAAGGGUCCAGGCCCUACGGGGCGCAUCAGGCGCGAAAACUUCGCAAUGCGCGAAAGCGUGACGAGGCUAGUCCGAGUGCUUCCUGCUAAAGGGAGCUUUUCUCGGCUGUAAAUAGGCCGGGGAAUAAGGGGAGGGCAAGUCUGGUGUCAGCCGCCGCGGUAAUACCAGCUCCUCGAGUGGUCGGGACGAUUAUUGGGCCUAAAGCACCCGUAGCUGGUUCUGUAAGUCCUCUGUUAAAUCCAGUCGCUCAACGUCUGGUCUGCAGAUGAUACUGCAGUACUAGGAGGCGGGAGAGGCGGACGUUACUCCGCGUGUAGGGGUAAAAUCCUUUGAUCCGCGGAAGACCACCAGUGGCGAAGGCGGUCUGCCAGAACGCGCUCUACAUUGAGGGGUGUAAGCUGGGGGAGCGAACCGGAUUAGAUACCCGGGUAGUCCCAACCGUAAACGAUGCGAGCUAGAUGAUUCGAUCGCAGUUCGCGAUCGAAGCGUCGCAGGGAAACUGUUAAGCUGGCCGCCUGGGGAUACGUGCGCAAGCUGGAC
rnacentral:rRNA from 1 species